rnacentral:rRNA from 1 species
UACGGAGGGGGCUAGCGUUAUUCGGAAUUAUUGGGCGUAAAGGGCGCGUAGGCGGCCCGGUAAGUCAAAGGUGAAAUCCCUCGGCUCAACUGAGGAACUGCCUUUGAAACUGUCGGGCUUGAGGCCGGGAGGGGGUAGCGGAAUUCCCAGUGUAGCGGUGAAAUGCGUAGAUAUUGGGAGGAACACCAGUGGCGAAGGCGGCUACCUGGACCGGUUCUGACGCUGAUGCGCGAAAGCGUGGGUAGCAAACAGG